CAUUGUUAUCGUACUUAUCAACUGGGAUACUAUUUUGACAAUGCACAGUUUCUUUGUGUGGCUAGUAUAGAAUACAUGAACAUAGACA